rnacentral:rRNA from 1 species
AUUGAACGCUGGCGGCAGGCCUAACACAUGCAAGUCGAGCGAGCGGCGGACGGGUGAGUAAUGUCUGGGAAACUGCCUGAUGGAGGGGGAUAACUACUGGAAACGGUAGCUAAUAUCGCAUACCAUCAGAUGUGCCCAGAGGGGAUUAGCUAGUGGGUGGGGUAACGGCUCACCUAGGCGACGCUCCCUAGCUGGUCGGAGAGGAUGACCAGCCACACUGGAACGGAGACACGGUCCAGACUCCUACGGGAGGCAACAGUGGGGAAUAUUGCACAAGGGGCGCAAGCCUGAUGCAGCCAUGCCGCGUGUGGGAAGAAGGCCUUCGGGUUGUAAAGCACUUUCAGCGGGAAGGCGUUACCCUCAGAAGAAGCACCGGCUAACUCCGUGCCAGCCGCCGCGGUAAUUC